AGGGAUGAAAAUGGAAGUCUCCCUGCAAUACCUGCAUCGCCUGCAAAAAGCAAUGUACCAGUGUAUAGCAGUUGAAUCCAAAUGAGAUCUAAGGCAAUUGCUGAGUUGCAAGACAAAGUUUCAAGUUCCAAAGACAACCCAGGUGGGGUAAGGGAAUGGAAUUCUUCGGACAAAUAAAAACAAUACCUUGAGUUCUCAGCGUUCCAUACUCUCAGACCGCAUCAGUUGCAAGACCAGCCUGCACUAAUGCAAUCGUCAGAGUUCUUAUGGACAACAGAAAAGCAUAUAUAUCCGCCUGAUCGGCAUUUUGAAGUGUCAUCAAAACACCAUGGUGUUAGCUGCUUGGUACCUUGCAUAGUGACCGGUCAAGGUUCAUUGUAACUUCAGUAAAUCAUUUAUGUUUUUCAGUAAAUCAUUUAUGUUUUCUGAAUUGGAAUUUGAUAGUAUGCCUAAAGCAAAUCUUGCUUGUUGGUAAAAUGUGAUUGCAGAUUGUAAAUCUGAUCUCACUUCAUAAACCAAUCUAUUUAUAUUCUGAGACUCUGGGUAUUGAGGUAACAAUAAA